rnacentral:misc_RNA from 1 species
UUGAAUCCAAAGGAUGUUGCUGGUACUUGUAAAAAAAGUGCAUGUGCACUCCACCUUUCAAACCCACCUGUGCACUCAUUGUAGGCUCAGAUUAAGUUCCGAGUCUAUGCUUUUUCAUACACACUUAUAUAAAAUUUAUGGAAUGUCCUUGGGCUUUCAUUGCCUAAAAAAAUUAAUA